ACGGAAGGCAGCAGUGAGGAAUAUUGGUCAAUGGGCGGAAGCCUGAACCAGCCAAGUCGCGUGAAGGAUGAAGGUAUUAUGUAUUGUAAACUUCUUUAGCUGUGGAGCAAUAAUCGCCAUGCAUGGCGAGAUGAGAGUACACAGAGAAUAAGGAUCGGCUAACUCCGUGCCAGCAGCCGCGGUAAUACGGAAGGUCCGGGCGUUAUCCGGAUUUAUUGGGUUUAAAGGGAGCGUAGGCGGGCUUUUAAGUCAGUGGUAAAAGCGUGUGGCUCAACCAUACCACGCCAUUGAAACUGGAAGCCUUGAGUGCACACAGGGAUGCUGGAAUUCGUCGUGUAGCGGUGAAAUGCUUAGAUAUGACGAAGAACUCCGAUCGCGAAGGCAGGUGUCCGGGGUGUAACUGACGCUGAGGCUCGAAAGUGCGGGUAUCAAACAGGAUUAGAUACCCUGGUA
rnacentral:rRNA from 1 species